ensembl:lncRNA
GUUUGAGGGUUGUCAUCAUCUAAGGUCCUCCUCUGAGGGGUUGGCAUCAUCUCUUCUAAGGUGUUCGGUCACCUCAGAUCUUCAUAAGGGCUGGAUCCAGACUGAAGCUUGUAUAAGCCAGCUCAGUCAUUUCCGGUCAUCUGUCAAUUCAGUGAAGAUGUCAUUCUACACCCGGUGCUUUCAGGAUUUAGCUGAAGUGAAUAUCAAUGAUGUACACCGGCUUAUUCAGACAAACUCAAAGACUUCGUCCAGCAAACGGGAAAGAGGAUUUAAGUUGUACAUAUCCAGUUACAUUCAUGAAUAUGAAGGGCUUUAAGCCUGGUCCAACAAAUGAAAUGCUGGUAUUGUCAGCUAGGCCCAAGGACAGAAGAUUGGCAGAAGGCAUCAGGAGCAAGCUGUAUAAAGCUGCCUGUAACCUGACCUGUGGCCUUCCAGACAUCUCAGUUCUGCAGCUGAAUGAUAUUUGUGAAGGCAUGUCAAGAGAAAGGGCUCCUUAAAUAACCACCAUGGGGAUGUGCCUUUGGUGGACAGUGCUUUUGGAAAAGU